rnacentral:rRNA from 1 species
GACGAACGCUGGCGGCGUGCUUAACACAUGCAAGUCGAACGGUAAGGCCCUUCGGGGUACACGAGUGGCGAACGGGUGAGUAACACGUGGGUGAUCUGCCCUGCACUUCGGGAUAAGCCUGGGAAACUGGGUCUAAUACCGGAUAGGACCCUGGGAUGCAUGUCCUGGGGUGGAAAGCUUUUGCGGUGUGGGAUGGGCCCGCGGCCUAUCAGCUUGUUGGUGGGGGGAUGGCCUACCAAGGCGACGACGGGUAGCCGGCCUGAGAGGGUGACCGGCCACACUGGGACUGUGGUACGGCCCAGACUCCUACGGGAGGCGGCAGUGGGGAAUAGUGCACUAUGGGCGCAAGCCUGAUGCAGCGACGCCGGGGGAGGGAUGACGGCCUUCGGGUUGUAAACCUCUUUCAGCACCGACGAAGCGCAAGUGACGGUAGGUGCAGAAGAAGGACCGGCCAACUACGUGCCAGCCGCCGCGGUAA